rnacentral:rRNA from 1 species
GGCGUGCCUAAUACAUGCAAGUUCGAGCGAGCUGAAUUCAAAGAUCCUUCGGGAUGAUUUGUUGGACGCUAGCGGCGGAUGGGUGAGUAACACGUGGGCAAUCUGCCCUAAAGACUGGGAUACCACUUGGAAACAGGUGCUAAUACCGGAUAACAACAUGAAUCGCAUGAUUCAAGUUUGAAAGGCGGCUUUUAGCUGUCACUUUAGGAUGAGCCCGCGGCGCAUUAGCUAGUUGGUGGGGUAAAGGCCUACCAAGGCAAUGAUGCGUAGCCGAGUUGAGAGACUGAUCGGCCACAUUGGGACUGAGACACGGCCCAAACUCCUACGGGAGGCAGCAGUAGGGAAUCUUCCACAAUGGACGCAAGUCUGAUGGAGCAACGCCGCGUGAGUGAAGAAGGUUUUCGGAUCGUAAAGCUCUGUUGUUGGUGAAGAAGGAUAGAGGCAGUAACUGGUCUUUAUUUGACGGUAAUCAACCAGAAAGUCACGGCUAACUACGUGCC